rnacentral:rRNA from 1 species
UACGUAGGGUGCGAGCGUUGUCCGGAAUUACUGGGCGUAAAGAGCUCGUAGGUGGUUUGUCGCGUUGUUCGUGAAAACCUGAGGCUUAACCUUGGGCGUGCGGGCGAUACGGGCAGACUGGAGUACUGCAGGGGAGACUGGAAUUCCUGGUGUAGCGGUGGAAUGCGCAGAUAUCAGGAGGAAUACCGAUGGCGAAGGCAGGUCUCUGGGCUGACACUGACGCUCAUGCACGAAAGCGUGGGGAGCAGACAGG